rnacentral:lncRNA from 1 species
CCCAAACCAAAAAAAGUCAUCUAAGAGCACUGUUUAGCUUCAUAUAAGUCACACAAUACCUUUAUUUAUUUAUAUGUGGUGCUGAGAAUUGAACCCAGUGCCUCACACAUGCUAGGCAAGUGCUCUACCCCUGAGCUACUACUCCAACCCCUUAUUUUUAUUUUUAUUUUUCUAAAAACCAGAUUUUUUUUAUUUGUCUCCUAAAAUGGCCUGGAAGCAAUGAUAACCCUGUAGCAGGUGGCAUCAAGACUGUGGUCUUGAAAUAUUCCCACUGAGGGGGAACCAGGGCUCUCUGGAGAAAUGACUUAUUUCAGGUAUGAGGCAGGAGGUGCUCACAGUAAACCUGAAACAUCAUCUUAGGAAGGUAAACUAUCAAAGACCUUGAGUUUUCUCAGGAGGACACAGCUAAACACAUGAGAGAAAUCUGGCUGUGACAUCUGUCACCCCAUGGUCACCAGGGUUGAUUUGGCAGAUCUAGCUGUCUAGCUGGGUGUCCUUUUUCCCACUUCUCUAUAUGCAUCCCUCCUGAAGCUGUGUGAUCAAAGAGGGUGGCCCACCCUUGUUCUUUAGUCAAGGAUAUGCAAGUAGGUGUGCUUCCCUGCUAGAACCUCCAAACAAGCUCUUAAAGUUGCUGCUGGCAUAAGCAUAUGGGAACAGCAAAAAUAAUAAUGGAUCUUCCUGCCAGCUUCCCUACUUGUCCCUUCUGCUUCCAUCUUUCACUCCUGGGC